GCCUGGGUGGCUCAGUUGGUUGAGCGUCUGACUUUGGUUCAGGUCAUGAUCUCAUGGCUUGUGGGUUCAAGCCCCACUCCGUGUU
rnacentral:tRNA from 1 species